AUCUGCUACAGCCUUGCUGAUAUGACAGACAAACAUCUACAGUCAGUCCGUCCUUCCUCUGGAGUUCGGGGAUCUAAAAGAGGAUGACUGUGAAGUGGGAGUCUGAGAAGAAUCCUGCCCCUGUCCUAGGAGCCCCUCUUCACCCGCAGGAGCUCCAGGAGAGACAGUGGUGAGAGACCUCCAAGGCCAGAGAGAUCUAGAUGCUGAAUCAGCAGAAGGUGCAGAGACGUGGAUGCUGACCCUCUGCUCUGGGCCAGCUUCCUACACAGCGUUGAGACCCUCCCUGGCCUGGGCCCCAUUGAGUCAACAACACCCCAUCCUGUGAUAAUUACGCUCACCCACCUGACCGGUGCUGCCGUGUGCCUGGCAUUCCACUGAGUGCCUCCCCGCCUCCGUCUAAUUCAUAUCCUACCUGGAGUGGAACUGAAGCUGAAGAGACCCCAGGGCUUAUAGGCAGAGCCAUCUUCCUCUGCCUCCCACUGCUCCAACUUGCCGCCGGCCUCACUGUGAACCGGAGCCUACCUAUCAUGUCAUUUCUUCACCCUUUACUCAGAAUAGAGGCUGGCAAAGAGCCAAAGGACUUCCUCCAGUACCCUACAAAAUCACGACCUGGGGAACUCUAAGCCGUCAGAAUCACCCCCAUGCUGCCUUAUAGACAUCCUCUGAUGGUAACAGGCAGCGGAUGCUCGUGUCUUAAGAGAAGUACUCCAAAGAGAAACUUAAAACCGAGAAAAUUCUAUCCAUCAAUUAAAAACAAAAAAUAGCCAGAAACCUCUCUCCGUCUCCAGGGUUCAGAAGAGUUCCUGGCAUGCAGCAGGCCCUGAAGACUACUCAUCCAGUAAGUGGCUGAAUGAGCUUGAAGGCCAGGUCCUGCUUUCCUGGAAUCGUGUUCCUUCCGCACAUUUACUAGACUGCCUCGUUCCACAAUGGGCACAACACCAGAGGCCCACCAGCUGGGCUAUCUCCUGGGCUCCUUAAGCAACAAAAAGAGGGACUUGCUGGUGCACAGGGCCCAAGAGUUUAUUUGAGCUCUGCCUUUAUUUGACAUGUGUCAUUCCCUAGUGCCGAGGAUGGCCCCAGGGAGGCCUUCAACCUUUACCCCAGUUACUAUACCAUCCUAUGUCAACCAAGGGCCAUCCUGUCCCUAAGCAAAGAGGCACAAGAGCCACUGCUCCCUGCUUGAAGGAGCCCCAUGCUUUUCCUCUCCUGUGUAUGAGUGAUGGUGUCCGUACACAGACCUUAUAGCAACUGUAAUCCCUUGCUGGUACACACCAUUUUUAUUCCAAAGCACUUUUAUGCCUUGA